UGGAUCAGUAAUAAUGACUGGUUGCAGGUAAGUCGUGGAUGAUGAAUAACGUACGUCUGAUACUGUGAUCCAA
ensembl:snoRNA